AAGCUAAUUGACUUUACUUUGCCGGCUCUGUUCUCUGCAAAGAGUGCCCGUCCUCUCUCCCAGUCGCCAAAUCGCUACUCACGGAACAACAUCAGGAGAACUCGAAGUCUGUCGAUGCUGGGGACCCCUCUUCCUUGGAGAUCCAUACUCGCAGUGCCCCGAAUGAGGCCGGCUGUGCUGCUGCAGAGGCCGCCAGAGAGGGAAUCCCUCAAAGUCGCCGCUGGAGUGGGCCGGGGGAAGUGUGCGCUGCUCAGGACACAUGGCCCGUGGUCUGUGGUGUUACCUUUGGAUGGCGCGGCGGUAGGUGGGCCUGGUUGCUCAUGGCUCAGUAUCCCUGGGCUGGCCCGCGCGCCCGCUGCGGACUCCAGACUUGACGGCUUCUGCCCGCGGGAAGGAAGAUGCAUUCUACUGUUGGGCGCCUCGCUGCCUGCACCUCUGGCUCGCGAUGUCCUCAACCUGGGAAAGACGUCGGCGCUUUGCACCCGAGUUGGGCUCCUUGGCACAUUCGAGCAGCUGCUCUGGGAGAAACAGCAGGAUCUACGGAAGUUUGUACCCACCGCCUCGCCUGCAGCCUCGGGAGUCUCAACCCAAGCCGGCCCGGCCUUGUAGCCCAGAGCAGCAAAGCCACAGCAGGCAACGCGAGCUAACGCGGGUCGCGCGGAGGUCGGGAGCCCAGGCGGCGGAGGCGGCGGCGGCGCAGUUAUUCCCGGGUGACUCUGGGGACUCGUGCAGAUGGGGGACGCCUCCGGCCACGCACUUGGAGCCAGCUGCAGCUCCCGGGAGCCUGGCACUGAUGGAUCGUCUCAUUUCCCAACUUGAUGGGCCGGAACCUGGGAUAGCUGUGCCUGCAGGGAGAGGGCAAGACGAAGAAAGUCGUGCAUCCCCUGGGAGGGAGAGGCUGCUUGUCCCUGUCCUGACACCCCACCCCAUGGCUCAGGCUGGAGUCAGAGGGAAUGAGAAGAGUGGGAAGCCAGAGGCUGAGCUUGGGCUUCCUAGAAUCUUCCUCCAUCUCAAGAAGUGGAACUCCAACUCCGCUCCAAGGCCUACCUCCUUAGCUGGGUCUUGGAGAUCACUGAACGGAUCUCAAACCUGGGAUCUUAAAGAAUCCCAAAUCUGGGUGCACCUCAGCAGAAUACGUUCUCCCAGACCAGUCUGUCAGGAAAGCCCCAGCUCUCUAGCUGGCCAGGAAACACCACAUGGUUCGGGACAUCUGACAAAGUGCCGUCCAAAAUCCAAAGUGUGGUUCUGAGACCAGUAGCAUCACUGUCCCUUGGAGACUGCAGGAUUGCAGGCCUCAUCCAGCCCUACUGCAUCGGAACGUGCAUCUGAGAGAUAUCCAAGGACUGUGUACAGUCUGGUUGGAGAAGCCCUUGCCCAAUUUACAGAACCUGAGUUUAGCCAUUGACAACCUGUUCAACCCUGUUCCUCCCAGCCUCCUCUUCAUCACCUGUCAAGUGGGAGCUGUUUUGGAGGUCCUGGGGGGCUCUUAUGCACUCCUGAGUGCAUUCAGACCAAUGGAAUCAGAAUCUCUGGUUUGCUGGAGCCUAGGCAGGAGUGUGUGUUUUGGGUGUCUCCAGGUGAUUUUAAUGGCAGCCAGGAAUGACUAGUGUAGAAAUACCCACUUUACAGAUUAGUUAGAUUAGCUAAUCUGUCUAGCCUGGGCAAGACAAUAUGUGCAGUGUUAAGCCCACUGCUCUCUGUAGCCUGAUUCAUUCUGUAGCCUGACAUUCUGUAGCCUGAGUCAUUCUGACUCCAGCAAGUAUGGCCUUGAACCAUACUUAAUUAGCCAAGUAUGGCUAAUCAGCUUCGCUGUGCCUCGGUUUCCUUACCCACAAAAUGAAGUUGAUAAUAGUGCCCACCACAAAGGGUGUUUGUGAGGAUUUAGAAUCAAAUGUUUAAAAUCAAAUUCAAUAAAUAUUAGUUUAUGAGGUCA
rnacentral:lncRNA from 1 species